AUGGGUAGCUUGCUACCUCUGGUGAUUAGCGGCGGACGGGUGAGUAACACGUGGGUAACCUGCCUGUAAGACUGGGAUAACUCCGGGAAACCGGGGUUAAUACCGGAUAACUUUUUUCUUCGCAUGAGGGAGAAUUGAGAAGAUGGCCUCGGCUAUCACUUACAGAUGGACCCGCGGCGCAUUAGCUAGUUGGUGAGGUAACGGCUCACCAAGGCGACGAUGCGUAGCCGACUUGAGAGGGUGAUCGGCCACACUGGGACUGAGACACGGCCCAGACUCCUACGGGAGGCAGCAGUAGGGAAUCUUCCGCUAAUGGACGAAGAGUCUAACGGAGCAACGCCGCGUGAGUGAUGAAGGUUUUCGGAUCGUAAAACUCUGUUGUUAGGGAAGAACAAGUAUCGUUCGAAUAGGGCGG
rnacentral:rRNA from 1 species